UACGUAGGGUGCAGGCGUUUAAUCGGAAUUACUGGGCGUAAAGCGCGUGUAGGCGGUAGGCCAAGUCUGCUGUGAAAUCGCCCGGCUCAACUGGGCGCGGUCGGUGGAAACUGGUCAACUGGAGGACGGUAGAGGCGAGUGGAAUUCCCGGUGUAGUGGUGAAAUGCGUAGAGAUCGGGAGGAACACCAGUGGCGAAGGCGGCUCGCUGGGCCGGUCCUGACGCUGAGACGCGAAGGCGUGGGAGGCGAACGGG
rnacentral:rRNA from 1 species